rnacentral:tRNA from 1 species
GAGAGUAUAGCUCAGUGGUAGAGCACAUGGUUAGCAGGCACAAGGUCCUGGGUUCAAUUCCCCAGUACCUCCA